CCCGGAUGUUAGCGGCGGACGGGUGAGUAACACGUGGGUAACCUGCCUGUAAGACUGGGAUAACUCCGGGAAACCGGAGCUAAUACCGGAUAGUUCCUUGAACCGCAUGGUUCAAGGAUGAAAGACGGUUUCGGCUGUCACUUACAGAUGGACCCGCGGCGCAUUAGCUAGUUGGUGAGGUAACGGCUCACCAAGGCGACGAUGCGUAGCCGACCUGAGAGGGUGAUCGGCCACACUGGGACUGAGACACGGCCCAGACUCCUACGGGAGGCAGCAGUAGGGAAUCUUCCGCAAUGGACGAAAGUCUGACGGAGCAACGCCGCGUGAGUGAUGAAGGUUUUCGGAUCGUAAAGCUCUGUUGUUAGGGAAGAACAAGUGCAAGAGUAACUGCUUGCACCUUGACGGUACCUAACCAGAAAGCCACGGCUAACUACGUGCCAGCAGCCGCGGUAAUACGUAGGUGGCAAGCGUUGUCCGGAAUUAUUGGGCGUAAAGGGCUCGCAGGCGGUUUCUUAAGUCUGAUGUGAAAGCCCCCGGCUCAACCGGGGAGGGUCAUUGGAAACUGGGAAACUUGAGUGCAGAAGAGGAGAGUGGAAUUC
rnacentral:rRNA from 1 species